AGUCCACAACGUAACUGUUUCUCUCUCUCUCUCUCUCUCUAUUUAGUAUUGAUUGUGCCUUUUCAGUGUCCUUCCCUAUCCUGAUGUUUGCCCUUAAAUUUCUGUUACUAAAUAAAUAGGAUUGAAAGUGUAGAACCAUAGAAAAUUCAAUAUUAUGACAGGGAGUUUCAAACGACAGUUACCUCUGAAGAAAUUUAGAGAGUCGUUUUGUGUUCAUCUCCCAUAAUUGCAGCACAAAUGUGGUAUUGUUCCACUUUCAACCAGUAUAUUAUAUUUAGAAGUGGGUUGAACUCAAGUUCAUGUGGAGAAAUUGGUGGAAUUGCUCAGGAAGAACAACACAUAACGUAGGACAAGAGAAGCUUAAAGACAACAGUUAGGAUUUUGUUGUCUAAAGCUCCAAACAUCAUUGUGUUAAAAACUUACCCCGUUUGUGCAAAAAGAUUAUGUGUGGAAAAUCAAAUGUCCAUAUCUGCUAGGUGUUCGAUCAAAGGCCUCUAAGAGAUUUGCAUGAUGUGAAAAGCUUACCACCACUUGUGUAUGUUCUUUAAGGAAGCCCUAGAGUAAUCAUCUGGAUGCAAGGAGAGUAACAGUAGCAACACUGAGUAAGCAUAAGUGCUAUGAUAAGGAUUCAACCACGGCGGAGGUAAUUAAUGGCAGCCAUGGAAGCUAUAAGGUUGGCUAGAGAUAUGUGAUGAUUUCAAGUGAUACUUGAGGGGAUGACAAGCUUCAAUGGCACAUUUAAAGAGAGAGCUGAGAAGUUUAGGCAGUUAAAGUUUUUGUUCAUGGAGCUACAAGCACAGCAUCACAUUCUUUACCUAUAUUUUUAGUUCAUUUGGUUGAUAGGAAUUUUUGGAUUGGUCAUAGUCCACGAUUCUUACA